AAAUGAUAUAUUCACAUAGCAAGUAGCACGCCGAAAUAAAAAUAUUAAAUAAGGGAAAAUGUCAACUUUCAGAAUUUCUUUUGGCAAGAAGUGGGGAAUAUGCGUCCGAUAUUUUGGAAUGUCAAAUCAACAAAAAAAGUCUUAUCCAAAUCUGUGACUCAACAACCUGGUUUUCCCCAUGUGAGACUGAGUUGAAAGACAAAUAAAUGUUUGGAGGAGAUAGCUUAAUUAAAGAUGAGAGACAAGCAUUGUGAUGUUUUGGACAAUUCGAUCCCAAAAUGGUACAGAGAUUGUUAGAGAAUCGUAUCUACUGAAAGACACUGGGACAUUUGCUGGAAGUGAUCAAACGAAUAAACGAAGAGGACAAAAAGCGAUUGUGAGAGGAAUAUAACAACGAAGAUAUAAAAACAUUUCCAACCAACGAACAAAUCGAAAAAUAUAUGUAUAUACGAAAUGUUAUUGUGUAUUUGCUUGAUUAAGUGUUCAUAAAAAAUUAUUUAUUGUUGAAUUUUUAAAACUAAAAAUUUCGUAUGGAAAUUUA